CGGCGCAGCUCUCACACAUUGUUCAUUAACAGCAGCAGCCGCCGCCGCCGCCGCCUCCCAACCAUUGAUUGAUCCGCGCGGGGCUGCCGAUCGGUAUUCCUGCUGUUGUGGAAUGGAUGGGUGGCUACACAACCUGAGUGCAACAGAAAAUACAGUUCCGCACUGUGCAUCAUCAGUUUAAUUGUUGGAGACAUAACUACUAACAUGGGAAGAGAAGAACAGAAAGAACAUAGGCACCUCAUAUGAGCAAGAAAAUAGUGCCCCGUAAGCUUUGGAACUUUGAGCUAAAUCGAGUGCAGAAAAUCAGAAGUCGGAACUUAAUACCUCCUCAGCCCAAGGUUUCCAAGGUUUUCACUGCAAUGCAUCAGCUGUGCAUGCACUACACUCUGUAAGAACACAUUCUCCCUGCAGGUAUGCUCUUGCCACUGGACACGCAAGACCCAUAAGUAUGCUAUCACAGUAGAAUACUCUUCUUUGCUAAUCAAAACCUCAAAAUCAGAUUUACUAUUAUUUACUUGUAGAAGCAUUCCAGAAAAAAGAAUUUCAACUCGGCACACUUUAAUUCUCUUUUCAAGAAUUCUAAUUAAGGCCUUAAUAAUGUAACACAAUCAUACCGUCUGUAACAUAACAUUCACUAACACACACACACACUCACACAAUAUGACUAAAAAAUACAAUGCAAAUCUUAAAAGUCUACUAUCAAGUUUCGUUAUGUCACAACUUUUUACUCAUCUUCACAAACUUACAGUCCUGAAUUAUAUGUACC